GGGGGUAUAGCUCAGGGGCAGAGCAGAAGGCUUUUAACCUUUUGACGGGGGUUCGAUUCCCUCUACCCCUA
rnacentral:tRNA from 1 species